rnacentral:lncRNA from 1 species
CCUACAUGGAUUAUAAAAAGAGACGCGUUGAGGACGGUUGAAAUUUUUCCCUAUUUUGACCAGACAACCAUGUGUGCCAAUUUUAUUUAUUAGUGUAAUUAAUAUACAUAGUGUUCACAUAGAUAAGUAGUGAUUUAAUUAAAAGAGAAUUUGUAAGUAAUUGGCGCAGAUACCUAUUACUAUAUUAUUCUAAUAGGCGAAGCGAUUUCUUGUUGGACCACAGCAUAAUAAUUUCACUAAACUAGAAUUAAUUUAAAUAUUUUAUUUUAGAGGUACAUUUAGGCAAUAUCACCUCAGAAUUUAUCUGUUUCUCCAUACUUUGAUCAUGUAGACGAACUUACCUGUGAGCAUGAUAUAUGAUACGUUUUACAUAAUAACAUAUGGAAAUCUAAAAACAAUUUUUAUUUCUGUCAAAUUGUCAUUUUAGAAGAUAUUUUUAUCGACAGUGUAUAUAUAAUUUCCAGUGUCGUGGCAUAUUGAUAACGAAAAGCUGAUAGAUGUCAGGUGAUAGAUAUUUAUAUAUUUUUAUCGCCUUAAAAUCGUAGCUAAAGAUUACAGCUACUUUUCAAUGGAAAUUUCAAAUAUUUGUUGUAAUAUCAAAAAUAAUUGCCGAAAAAAUUUAUAUUCUAUUAUCUAGGGAAAAUAUAGACUUCAGUUUCUUUUUAUUUAUUUUUUUUAAAUAUAUUAAACAAUAAGUAUUCCAGUAAAAACGUUUACAAUGAUUCGUUCCACUGAAGUAAGACAUCGUAAAUGAUAAAUAUCAGGUUUUUUAUAUACCCUAUAAUACUUUCUAGAUACACCAACAUUUUUCGAUUUGUUUAGAUACACAAUAAUAAUAAUAGUACCACCAAUACAAGACAGGCUAUAUUUUUUUACAAGGAAGAUGAAGACAAGUAACUUUACCGCCUGUUUCCUGAUUAACAGUUAACGUAGCCUACGAUCCAUGCAACAGCAAAGCUGUCAAUUGCAUCAGUUAAAAGGUAUUGACCCUUGGUACAUAAAAAUUGCAUCUCAAAAUAUACAGCAAUUUUAAGCCAUAUCUCAUUUCUCUAACUAGACUAUAGUCAUAGAAACUUGCUUGGUGAAAAAUACUCAUUUAUGGCGACUUUUUGUAUAAUCUCAAUCAUAUACCUAAGUUAGCAAAAGUAUAUAAUUUCCAUUAAUAAAGUAUGAACUGUCUACAAGCAUCAGCUUUAAACAAAUUUAAUUGAUAAUAGGCACUAAAUACGUACCUACUUUAAAAGUAUAAAAUAUUAAAAUCUGUCGUAUUUUAAAGAUUCAAAUUGAGCUUAUGUAAAUUUUUGAAGUAAAGCGUUGAAAACGCAUUUAAUUACAUUUUGUUCCAUUACGUUUAAGUUACAAUUUUAUUAUUCUUUAUCUAUACGAUAUAUUCUUUCUAAUUUAAAUUUAGAGUGCAAAGAUUAGCUUAAUUCAACUAUUAUUCUUUCAUUAAUAGUAAUUUUUUAUUGCGAAACGUUGCAUAUUGAUUUCAGGUUAUUUUUGAGAUUCGCUUUGUGAGGAGUGUGGAUGUAAUUGAGGUGAGGUUGAGAUCUAUCAUAUAUGUUAUUUAUUAUUAAUUAUAAAUAUAAACAAUAAAGUAAUAAAAAAACAUAAAAACAAAAUACUAUGUCUUUCAAAUUACUUUAGAAAUCCGCUGAAAUAAAGUGAUCAUUGCCUUCGAGUAAAAUUAAAUUAAUGAACAUAAGUACGAAUCAAACCAUUAAAAUUCAGUUUGGUUAUUCAUACCAAACCAAAUAUUUUGAUGAACAUGGUCGGUCAACUUUCAAAAAAUUCCAAUACAUUCACUAUUAAUUAAGUUUAUGACAAGAAACUCAAGGGGCUUGACCUCAUCGAAUAAAUCAAUGACCAACUGGUCAACAAAUUAGUUGAUGCCAACACCUGUGUGGCUACAUAAUAACGUAAUGCAGCAAUUUAAAUUUAUUCCGGAUUUUGAGCAUAAUUACACGAAAUGUGACAUUUAAGAAACCUAAAAAAUAAAAACCUGUCAUGUAAACUUAUCGCUGUUUGGUGUCGGGUGGUAAAAUACUCAAUGUCUAAUAAAUUUUCUCGAAUUUCGAAUUUCGAAUGGCGAUACGCGGGCCACCAAGUGGGUGUGGAUACGUCCAUUACCAUCUGUGUAAACGGUUUUCUCUCGAAUCGCCCAUUAUGUGAUCGUCGUAAUAUUCACAGAGUUUAUACGAAAAAGGUAUUUAAACACUACUAUUUAGAAACUAGCUUGAAAAUCAUUCCAAAGACGUCUAAGACUACAUUUGCGUGUUCCAAAUUCAUUAGUUACCACGUUUCUCAAUGAGUUACGUCGUUAAUUCAAUACCUUCGCUAAUAAUCGCUAGGUAAGAUGUUUUCGUAAAAUUUAUUUGACGUUGAGUCAUUGUAUAUUUUAGCAUAUUUAUGCGCGCAACAUAUUAUCUUCGUUUUUACAAGGAGGUAUAUUUAAUAUUGUUUCUAACUCUGUAAUAUAUGUUACGGUUUGUUCAACUUUGUUUAAAUAUUCGCCAUACGAUAUACCUUGUUAUAAUAAUCAGGGUACGCAUUUUAGUGUUGAUUCUGAAUACAUUGCAAAGAAUUAAAGAAUAUAAGUUUAAUAAAUGCAUAAAACAGUCUUUGUUUGUUAAAUUUUUAAUACUAUAACAUGAAAUUACUAUAAGGUGAUUCGUCAGAAGUAAAUUACACGUUUACAGAACGUUAACUCCUCAGGUAGAAACAUGAGCUAAAAUGACGGUCAAAUUAACCCAACAAUAUUCAAUGAUCCGUAAAUAUGUGCGUAUUAAUUAAUAAGAUCGAUUGACAACAACCACUCGACUGUACAGCUGAUGCUGUUAUUUAAUUAUAUGUUUACCAUGAAAUAGAAAAAAGCAGAAUGUUUUUGAUCAUAUUUAAGAAUCAACUUUUGGCUUGCGUUUACUUACAAAGUCUAACACUGCAGCACUAUUGCAUUGCAUCGGCGAGCACGAGUAUUUCAGAGGAAACACAUGCGUUACGCGGCUCAACUAGCGAUGAUAUCCCGUCUCUUUCUAAUGCACGUUCAUAUUCGAUUCUCUCGCUCUACACGCACGAUCUGAUGCCAGUCGGUCGCGGUCCGCUCAUCACAUCCGUCGAGGUCGUAUACCUAGUGCAUAGAAGCUAGAUUGCCGUGUCGCGUAUUCAAAAUAGGAACGUUAGUAAUGGAUGGGAGCUGGUGUACGGUGGGGUUGAUGUGUGCGUGCGAGAGAACCAGCGACCCUCCCCCGCGCCUCCGCCCCCGCCCGCCGACGCCAACCGAGCGAGUGGCGCGCGUUUACACAAUCCGUUGGUUCGGAUCGCGGGUGAUGCUCGCGUCGCGUUGCGUCCUUCUCGUGACGACGAUUGACGUGCAAACACGUAUCGUCAAUUGUUUUUUUUUCUUACUUCUCAAAACUCAUACGACUUAAUUGCGCGAUCAAAGAGACUUCGGAAGUUCUCAUAAGAAUCUUUCUAGAUAAACUGCUAAUACUAUAGAGAUAUGAGUAAUCGUAUAUAUGUACAAAAAUAAAAAACAUAAACAAUAAAAAUAGAUAUUGGUGCAUCUGGAAAGUGACAAAUAAUUUUAAAGAUGCUCUGAAUUUUCAUAUGCUAACUAGGUUCUUACAUAUUUACAGAGUCAUUAGAAAUAAAAAAUAAUAUUGAUAAAUUUAUUAAGACAAAUUUAAAUAACUAUAAUUUCACUCAAAUAACAACGAUAAUAAAUAAAGAAAAUAAGACUUGUGAAAAUGGAAUAUUGAAAAUAUAAGUGGCUAGAAGUGUUAAUAGUGACAGGAAAAAAUGGAGCAAGAAAAGGGCGCAAAUAUAAAGUGCCCUGGAAAUCACUGAAAUUAGACAAAAAAAAAUUUAUUCCAAAGCAACAUAUUCUACAGUGAAGUCAUCGCAUCCAUAAAAAGAUAUAACGAUGGAUGUUAAUAAUUCCCUACCUAUACCUAUCAUUUAAGGUUGUUAACCCGUACCUACCGCUGUUAAUUUGCAGUGAGCAUUUUCAAAUAUUUCUUUAUUAUAGUAUAAUCAUUACCAAUUUAUAAUUAAUUUAGUUUUUAACGCCUCCGAUACCCGUUAUGCAUAUCGGUCGUAUACAGGCCCUAGAAGAGCGUCGGUUUCAUUGUCUUUCUGUCCGUCAUGAGUCACGCUAUUGUUGAGUUACACAAUAGAUGUCUUUGUGCAUUGUGCCUCGGGGACCCUGGUGUUACGUAUUUUGUAAUUAGUCGACGUCUAUUGGACUCGCUAAUGACACAUAUUGCUGUCCAUGCACGUAGUUACACCGCUAGGGUUGCCGCCACUACAGAAUUGACCUAUUUUUUUCUUUAUUCGGGGAGUACCAUAGAUUUUAGAAUAUUUUACUGUUCAAUCA